GCAUCCUCCCUACAGAGACCCUGAGAGCACCGCCAAUCUCUAUGGACUGCAGCUGGAGAGUCCUCUUCCUCCUGGCACUGGCUGCAGGGGUCAACUCCCAGGUCCAGCUGCUGCAGUCUGGGGCUGAGCUGAAGAAGCCGGGGACAUCCGUGAAGGUCUCCUGUAAGGCAUCGGGAUACACCUUCACCAGCUACUAUAUGCACUGGGUGCGGCAGGCCCCUGGACAAGGAUUCGAGUGGAUGGGACGGAUCGACCCCGAAGAUGGUGGAACACGCUACGCACAGAAGUUCCAGGGCCGAGUCACCAUGACCAGCGACACAUCCACAAGCACAGCCUUCAUGGAGCUGAGCAGUCUGAGACCCGAGGACACGGCCGUGUAUUACUGUGCGAGAGACACAGUGUGAGAACCCACAUCCUGAGGGUGUCAGAAACCCUGAGGGACCAGGGGUGUGCUGGGAUGAGGAGGGACAGGGGACAAUGACUUCCUGACUCCCU